rnacentral:rRNA from 1 species
GACGAACGCUGGCGGCGUGCUUAACACAUGCAAGUCGAACGGAAAGGCCCUGCUUUUGUGGGGUGCUCGAGUGGCGAACGGGUGAGUAACACGUGAGUAACCUGCCCUUGACUUUGGGAUAACUUCAGGAAACUGGGGCUAAUACCGGAUAGGAGCUCCUGCUGCAUGGUGGGGGUUGGAAAGUUUCGGCGGUUGGGGAUGGACUCGCGGCUUAUCAGCUUGUUGGUGGGGUAGUGGCUUACCAAGGCUUUGACGGGUAGCCGGCCUGAGAGGGUGACCGGCCACAUUGGGACUGAGGUACGGCCCAGGCUCCUACGGGAGGCAGCAGUGGGGAAUAUUGCACAAUGGGCGGAAGCCUGAUGCAGAAACGCCGCGUGCGGGAUAACGGCCUUCGGGUUGUAAACCGCUUUCGCCUGUGACGAAGCGUGAGUGACGGUAAUGGGUAAAGAAGCACCGGCUAACUACGUG